rnacentral:lncRNA from 1 species
AGCAGUGUCGUCCGUCGGGUGAAUGCUGACCUUCUUCGCUUCUCCCGCCGACUGGAAUGCGGAUUCAGAAGCUGGCUUCUUUGAGCGCAUCAUGUCGGCGGGGUCGACUGUUUUCUUGUACUCGUCGAGCUCGAGGACGGCCAUGUGCUGAUCGGCGAUUCUUGAUCGCUGCUGCAGGCACUCUUCGGCUCGCUGCCGAUUGCCUGUGAUGGUGAUCACACCCUUCGGGC